rnacentral:rRNA from 1 species
GACGAACGCUGGCGGCGUGCUUAACACAUGCAAGUCGAACGCUGAAGCUUGGUGCUUGCACUGGGUGGAUGAGUGGCGAACGGGUGAGUAAUAAGUGAGUAACCUGCCCUUGACUCUGGGAUAAGCCUGGGAAACUGGGUCUGAUACUGGAUACGACAUGUCACCGCAUGGUGGUGUGUGGAAAGGGUUUUACUGGUUUUGGAUGGGCUCACGGCCUAUCAGCUUGUUGGUGGGGUAAUGGCUCACCAAGGCGACGACGGGUAGCCGGCCUGAGAGGGUGACCGGCCACACUGGGACUGAGACACGGCCCAGACUCCUACGGGAGGCAGCAGUGGGGAAUAUUGCACAAUGGGCGGAAGCCUGAUGCAGCGACGCCGCGUGAGGGAUGACGGCCUUCGGGUUGUAAACCUCUUUCAGCACGGAAGAAGCGAAAGUGACGGUACGUGCAGAAGAAGCGCCGGCUAACUACGUG